rnacentral:rRNA from 1 species
AAAUUGAAGAGUUUGAUCAUGGCUCAGAUUGAACGCUGGCGGCAGGCCUAACACAUGCAAGUCGAGCGGAAACGAGUUAUCUGAACCUUCGGGGGACGAUAACGGCGUCGAGCGGCGGACGGGUGAGUAAUGCCUAGGAAAUUGCCCUGAUGUGGGGGAUAACCAUCGGAAACGAUGGCUAAUACCGCAUGAUGCCUACGGGCCAAAGAGGGGGACCUUCGGGCCUCUCGCGUCAGGAUAUGCCUAGGUGG